GGGGAUGUGGCUCAGUGGCAUUGAGCCUGCCUGGAAAGCGCAAGGUCCUGAGUUCAAUCCCCAGUGCCCCCG
rnacentral:tRNA from 1 species